AACUCUUUCUUAAUGAUUUUGCUGAGUAAUUUUGCUGUGCAUCGUUGAAUGUCCUAUUGGCAUAGUAGAUCACAUGAGGUUUUUCAUCAAUCCGUUAUCCUUGGACAACACUAAUUACAAAAUCAAAUGAAUCACACAUGAACUCAAAGGGUUACGAUUCCUCCCUCCAAUUCCUCAUCAUUACUCUCUCACACAACUCCGGAAUUUGGUGGUGACAAGGGAGAUGUCCUGGCGACUGACUGAAGACCAUGAACGGAUACAUUGCGGGUUCAUCAGCCACAGCAAGACUCUGGAUUCCAGUGAUCGAGCUUCUAUCUGUGGACUUCAUCCUGGGGUGUUGGGUCAGGAUAGCGUGCCACAGAAUGAGUUAAUGAUCAAGGCCAAUACUGUGAGGAACCGCCUUGCUAGGUUAGGUAGGGAAUUGCCUAUCAAGAAGUACCGAUGUUAUGUUUCCUCAACCCUUGGCCAUGGAGAAGUUUAAUUUUUGUAUUGAUGACUGCAGUGUGGUUCUAGUCCCAACAAUAGGUGUUCAUUUCACUUGGUGCAACAAUUUUAAGGACCUGGCAAAUCCUUGAUAGAGUUCUUCAGUCCCCUGAUUUGCUCGCCUCUGGGAGACUAUCUGCACAGUUACUCCCUAAGGAGUUUUCUGACCGUUGCCCUAUUCUCAUCUCCUAUGGUAAGCAUGUGCGUAAAGGGCCUAAACUGUGGCGUUUCAACGCAUGUUGACCACUAAUCCAGAGCUGAAAGAUGUAGUUCAUGAUGUUGGAUUCAGACCCUUCACGUGUCACCUUUGAUGGAUCUCCACUUGAAGUUGAAGCUUCUCAGAGCUAAGCUAAAGGCUUGGAGUAAAUCCUCCUUUGGCAAUAUAUUCUAACGCUUAUCAGGCCUUCAAUCUGAGAUCAAUUCCCUCGAUGCGCAAUUGCAAACUCAAUGGGAUGCUGUAGUCUUUGAAGAGCUGAAGGAGAAAAAAAAUCUCAAUGGCGCUUGGCUUGCGUCCAGGAGGAGAGUUUUUGGAAACAAAAAUCGCGCAUUAAAUGACUACAAGAGGGGGAACAUCAUUCGUGGCCAUGAGGCCAUUUAUGGGGAAGCCAUCUCAUACUGGACUGAUCUCCUCACAUUGGAACCCCACCAUGUGGAUAUUGACUACAUCAAGUUGGUUUCCACUUGCAUUUCUGAAGAGUCAAAUUGUAUGCUGUUGCGGCUUUUUGAUAUGGAGGAAAUUUCUCUUGCCUCCUCCUCUAUUCCCCAAGUUAGCACCGCAGGGAUGGAUGGUUUUUCAUCAACUUUCUUCAUAUUUAUGUGGGACAUCGUGGCUCCUUCAGUUCUUGCGGCUGCCAAUGAGUUCCUGCAAGUCAAAAAACUGCCACCAUCAUUUUCCCACACAGUGAUAAUUCUCAUUCCAAAAGUUUCAUCCCCCAAGUCUCUACAGGAAUUCAGACCAAUUAGGCUAUGUUCCACCGUCUACAAAAUCACUGUGAAGGCCUUAUGUAGCAGAUUGGCUCUCAUCCUUCCACAUAACAUAUCCCCCAACCAGGGGGGCUUUCAUCAAAGGGAGGUGUAUAUCAGAUAAUAUUGCUCUGGCCCAGGAGAUUAGCAGGGAGAUUGAUAAAAAAGACCCCACCCUAAUAUCAUCCUGAAUUUGGAUAUGUUAAAGGUGUAUGAUCGUCUUGAACGGGACUUCUUAUUGGCUAUUCUUAAGCAAUUUGGGUUUGCGGAAGAUUGGAUUCAUAUUAUUAAUGCAUGGAUAUGCCAUUGCUCAUUUUCGGUGGUAUUUCAAGGCAUUUACAGAGGGAUGUUUCACUCAUCUAGAGGGCUUCGACAAGGGGAUCCUCUUUCUCCAAGUCUGUUUAUUAAUGCGGAGGAGAUACUAUCAUUAAGCUUUGCUUCACAGCUUAGAGAAUCAGCGCUAUAUUCUACUUAUAACACUCGCUGUCCUUCUCAUUUUGCUGUUUGCGGAUGAUAUUAUAGUUUUUGUCAAUGCGGCAAGAGCUUCUCUUCUUCAAGUCAUGAAGAUUUUGGAGACUUUCAGCAAAACUCAGGUCAAAAGCUUAACCCAACCAAAAUCAAAUUCUAUUUACCUCACAAAGCUUUGGCAUCUUGAGGGAGAGUUGUUACAAUAACUUUGUUUUUUUCAAGAGGGAACUUCCCAAUCAAUUACCUGGGGGCUCCCAUAGGACCUGGUCAGAAAAAAAAGAUGUUUCUUUCAACCUCUGAUUGAUAAAAUAUCUCAAAGAAUCCAAGGGUGGCAAUCAAAGCUAUUAAGCUCUGCUGGCAAGCUAGUAUUGGUACGAUAUGUGCUAUGUAGCAUGCCCAUUCAUAUUAUAUCACGCAUAUCUGUGCUUUAAGGGGUUUUCAAGGCCAUUGAAUCGCUCCUGGCUAGUUUUUUUUUGGGGUUCGUGGGAGUUUGGAGCUUGUAGACAUUGGGUAACUUGGCAUAAAAUUGGCAUCCCUACAGGUGAAGGAGGUCUUGGUGUCAGAUGAAUGGAAGAUAUCAAAAAAAUCCUUUGUCCUUAAACAAUGCUGCCUGCUCCGUGAGUCUAAUUCUAGUUGGGCUGUUUUCAUGUGAGCUAAAUACCAGGUCUCCCCUCCAUCUGCAUCAUGGAAGGGUCCCCUAGGGUGUUCAGUUGAAUGAAAAGAUAUCUUGAAAAUGAAGCUUACAUUCACUGAGUUGUGUGCUUGGACGGUGGGUCUAGGCUAUAUCUCAUUUUGGUGUGACAAUUGGAAUCACAAACUUGGGGUUAUUGAUGUGCAUGGGGAUUACAACGUUCGCGUCAAAGAAACCUUUUCUGUAGGCACCUCUUGUUUCGCAGCUGGGUGCGACAUUUGUCCAGUCCCUUUCCCAUUCAGUCCCACAUUUAUCGAAAAAUGAUGAUAUUAGGCAUUGGGCACCUGAUCAGGCGGAUACCUUCUCGGUCAAAUCAGCAUGGGAGGUCAUCCGUCACUGUGCCACUCCUUGCUCCAUAGCCAAACAGAUUGGGGGCACUGUCAUGCCGCCGAAGUUGGUGUGCUGGAGAAUUCUGCAUAAUUUUCUCCCUAUGGAUCAAUUGGUCAAAUGUUGGGGUAUUGCGCUGGCUUCUAGGUGUGUAUGCUGCAGCUCCCCCC